rnacentral:rRNA from 1 species
CCACAGGGUCGAUACCUUAGUAACGGCGAGUGAAGCGGUAAAAGCUCAAAUUUGAAAUCUGGUACUUUCAGUGCCCGAGUUGUAAUUUGUAGAAUUUGUCUUUGAUUAGGUCCUUGUCUAUGUUCCUUGGAACAGGACGUCAUAGAGGGUGAGAAUCCCGUUUGGCGAGGAUACCUUUUCUUUGUAAGACUUUUUCGAAGAGUCGAGUUGUUUGGGAAUGCACCUCAAAGUGGGUGGUAAAUUCCAUCUGAAGCUAAAUAUUGGCGAGAGACCGAUAGCGAACAAGUACAGUGAUGGAAAGAUGAAAAGAACUUUGAAAAGAGAGUGAAAAAGUACGUGAAGUUGUUGAAAGGGAAGGGCAUUUGAUCAGACGUGGUGUUUUUUGCAUGCACCCGCCUCUCGUGGGCUUGGGCCUCUCAAAAAUUUCACGGGGCCAGCAUCAAUUCUGACAGCCGGAUCAAUCAUUAAGACUGUAGCUACCUCGGUAGUGUCAGAGCGUUCUGGAAUACUGAUAGCAGCGAUUGAGGACUGCGCUUCGCAAGGAAGGUGGCAUAAUGGUUAACUGCGCCCGCUGAAAACCGGGAAAAAAAAAUUAAAAAA